rnacentral:rRNA from 1 species
AGAGUUUGAUCCUGGCUCAGGACGAACGCUGGCGGCGUGCCUAAUACAUGCAAGUCGAGCGAGCGGAACCAACAGAUUUACUUCGGUAAUGACGUUGGGAAAGCGAGCGGCGGAUGGGUGAGUAACACGUGGGGAACCUGCCCCUAAGUCUGGGAUACCAUUUGGAAACAGGUGCUAAUACCGGAUAAUAAAGCAGAUCGCAUGAUCAGCUUUUGAAAGGCGGCGUAAGCUGUCGCUAAGGGAUGGCCCCGCGGUGCAUUAGCUAGUUGGUAAGGUAACGGCUUACCAAGGCGACGAUGCAUAGCCGAGUUGAGAGACUGAUCGGCCACAUUGGGACUGAGACACGGCCCAAACUCCUACGGGAGGCAGCAGUAGGGAAUCUUCCACAAUGGACGCAAGUCUGAUGGAGCAACGCCGCGUGAGUGAAGAAGGUUUUCGGAUCGUAAAGCUCUGUUGUUGGUGAAGAAGGAUAGAGGUAGUAACUGGCCUUUAUUUGACGGUAAUCAACCAGAAAGUCACGGCUAACUACGUGCCAGCAGCCGCGGUAAUACGUAGGUGGCAAGCGUUGUCCGGAUUUAUUGGGCGUAAAGCGAGCGCAGGCGGAAAAAUAAGUCUAAUGUGAAAGCCCUCGGCUUAACCGAGGAACUGCAUCGGAAACUGUUUUUCUUGAGUGCAGAAGAGGAGAGUGGAACUCCAUGUGUAGCGGUGGAAUGCGUAGAUAUAUGGAAGAACACCAGUGGCGAAGGCGGCUCUCUGGUCUGCAACUGACGCUGAGGCUCGAAAGCAUGGGUAGCGAACAGGAUUAGAUACCCUGGUAGUCCAUGCCGUAAACGAU